UACGUAGGGGGCAAGCGUUGUCCGGAAUCAUUGGGCGUAAAGAGCGUGUAGGCGGCCAGAUAAGUCCGCUGUGAAAUCUCGAGGCUCAACUUCGAGCUGUCGGUGGAAACUGUCUGGCUAGAGUCCGGAAGAGGAGAAUGGAAUUCCUGGUGUAGCGGUGAAAUGCGCAGAUAUCAGGAAGAACACCGGUGGCGAAGGCGGUUCUCUGGGCAUGACCUGACGCUGAGGAGCGAAAGUGUGGGGAGCGAACAGG
rnacentral:rRNA from 1 species